rnacentral:lncRNA from 1 species
AAGGCAUCUCAUCACGAUAUCAAUGCAUCGCAGCGGAAUAAAUUUAAAUAAUUAUUAUUCAACUCUAAUUCAAGUAAUUAAAUCAAAUGUCUUACAUCCAAUAAAAUUUUUCCACUAACAAUAAAACAAUAGAUCUAAGUUCAAUGAAGUUAACAAUGCUAAAUCUCGCCUCUAAAAGCUCUGUCCCAAUAUUUCUUCCCACGCUCGAAAUUAAUUGUCUGAAUCUGAAAAAUAGAAAGAAAGGUAAUGAGCUAGACAGCCCAGUAAGUAACAAGUAUCUCUACCAGAUAUUCAGAUAUUAUUUAAUUUUCAAGAACAAUGCUGCAAAUAACAUAAAAAUAUAUUUCAUGCUGAUUUACUGCAAAUCCAAUAUUUU